ACCGCACGUUAUGGUGGGCACUCUAAGGAGACUGCCGGUGACAACCGGAGGAAGGUGGGGAUGACGUCAAGUCAUCAUGGCCCUUACGGCCUGGGCUACACACGUGCUACAAUGGUCGGUACAAAGGGUUGCCAAGCCGCGAGGUGGAGCUAAUCCCAUAAAACCGAUCGUAGUCCGGAUCGCAGUCUGCAACUCGACUGCGUGAAGUCGGAAUCGCUAGUAAUCGUGAAUCAGAAUGUCACGGUGAAUACGUUCCCGGGCCUU
rnacentral:rRNA from 1 species